rfam:Alligator mississippiensis ScZkoYb_106, whole genome shotgun sequence.
GUUAUCAUUUCUUUCAGCACAUAUACUAAAAUUGGAACGAUACAGAGAAGAUUAGCAUGGCCCCUGCGAAAGGAUGACACGCGAAUUCGCUAAACAUCUUGAGAGAUUUGU